rnacentral:SRP_RNA from 1 species
ACCGGGCUUGGUAACGCUUGCCUAUAACUCAAGUGAGGGUAUUAAAGAUUGUUGGACAGUGACUCAACCCAGUCAGAUUGGUCCCACUGUUGCAUAAUCUGGCUUGCCCGUUCCAAGUUGUGAGUUGGACCAUGUGGCUUGAGCGAAAGCUUGGGCCACAUGGUUCCUAAAGCAGGGGGCACUGCGUAAGGCUGGUUUCACAGAGCUGCGAAAACCCCUCGCUCAUGACAGUUGAAGGAUAACAGGCCGGGGCUCCAUGGGUCCAUAAUAUAAUAUCUACCGGGUUGUCUCAAAUGAACAACCAUCUUUUU